CCAUGACCUGACGAUACAUGCAACAGUUUGCCUAUCAGACAGCUCUGCCAGCCUACAAGUUCCAGAAAGGCAAGCACAGCAUGUUAUCCACAUCUUCAGCAACGCAAAGGCUGAGGCUCACGAAGACUACCUGACUUUGAUCCCCAGCCCACAAACCACAGUGCAGCCCAGGAACAGAGGCUGAGGCAGUACAUUCUCACAAAGACUUCACUGCAGGGGCAAAGCCAAGGCAGAAAAACCGUGUGAGACACCUGCUCCUACUCUAGCCGUGUGAGACACCUGCUCCCCCUUUGCCUUCUGCCUUGAUUGUAAGCUUCCUGAGGCCUCCCCAGAAGCUAAGCAGAUGCCAGCACCAUGCUUUCUGGAAGCCUGCAGAACCAGGAGCCAAUUAAAUCUCUCUCUUUUUUUUUUUAAAUAAAUUACCCAGCCUCAGGUAUUUCUUUCAGCAAUGCAAGAAUGGCCUAACACACUAGAGCACCAAAGACUCUGCAGCUCCCACCUGGGCAGAAAGGGCAGAGGAGACUGUGACAAAGUCUCACCUUCUCCCCUAGGGGAAAUGAGACAGUCAGUGUUGUUAAGAGUACAGGUGACAGCAACAACGGUCAGGACUAUGCACUGGCCAAGAAGUCAAGGCUUGGGGAACAGGUGGGCCAAGUGAAUCUAGGAGGCACAUAAACUGAGUCCAAGAUACCGUUUCUUUGAAUCCAAAAAUGAGUGUUCCUUCAUUCAGUGGCAAAAAGCAUUCAACUCACCAACCACCCCAGCGCCCAAGUCACCUGGAUCUAAACCACCCAUUGGAAAUGCAGAUUUCUGGGCCACACCCAGAACUAAAGGAGUGGUUUCAUUGGGAGAUUCAACCACGGAGUCUGCAUAUUUUUAACAAGCUCUCCAAGUGACUUUUGUGGUCACUAAAUUUUAGAAACACCUAGGACAGCAUCAAAAGCUGCCCUGAGCAUGCCGGAACUCCCCAGCUCAUUUGAUAGGGAAAAAUCGAAACCUAGAAGUGAUUAACUACAGAUCAAUAAAACAGAACAAUGAAUCAUGCCAAAGGUCGAGUGGCAGUACGCAGCAGUACACGGCAAGCCAAUCUAAUUAGGGGCCCUCGUAAACGUCACCUGCUCAUAAACAUUUAUAAAAACAGAUUUCCUGCAUAUGGAAGGGUGUUAAUUUUUCAUAUAGCUGUAGGUAAAGUAAAUGUAUUUUUAAUCUCAUACAUUGAUUUAACACUGUAUUUCUUUUUGAAAGACUGGGAGACUCAGUCUUUGUUUACUGAUUUCUAUAUCAGAGAAACUGCUGGAGAGAGACGCCAGAGCAUACUUUCUCUCCUCAGGAAUAAGGGAAAUCUUCUGAUUCUUCCACAUUCAGACUCUCCCUUGGUUCUCAGAGCCCAGGCUGACAUCAGAUGCUACCUAACAGAGACAAAUGACACAGGGUGAGGCAAGGCAUGGAAGAGGGGUGUCAGUUCUGCAAGGGAGAUGCUGU
rnacentral:lncRNA from 10 species